rnacentral:lncRNA from 1 species
AAAAGCUCUCCCUUUAACACUAGCCAACCUCUCCUCUUCACCCCUCCUUCCUUUCCUUUCCUGCGCCAGCACAGACUGCCCUUGGACAGAAAUGAUACUUGGCGAUUCGACAUGGGGAACCAGAGUAAACACUACAGCCUGCAUUCACACUUUCCAAGAGCUGGAAGACUUGCUCCUGGCUAAAUCCUAUGAAAAGGCUGCAGAACCUGACAACACUUAUGAAGCUCUUUGUUCCUUGUUUCCCAAACCUUCCUUCAUCCUCCUUUAAAAAAAUCCUACUGGCCUCUCUCAUUCAUGACUUGAUGAAGUAAUGAUAUCUCUUUUACCUCUCCGUUGUCAGUUUUUCUCUAUCCUAUAUCCAUGUUCAUGAUCCAAAUGUGGCAUUGCUUAAUUAAGUCUGUGGAUUUUGCUGAUUCCAGAGUUGGUGUUGAAUUGGAUGGAAGAUAGGGCACUUUUGACUUCAGAGUUACAGUUUGAAAACAACUUGAACAACUUGAGAAAGCCUCUGAUAAUCUCAUCAUAUGUUCGGGUUGUAAGGACACAGGGACGUUGAAACUCCAAGCUUGAAGUCAGAAGAAGAAAGAUA